rnacentral:rRNA from 1 species
UACGUAGGGUGCAAGCGUUAAUCGGAAUUACUGGGCGUAAAGCGUGCGCAGGCGGCUUUGCAAGACAGAUGUGAAAUCCCCGGGCUUAACCUGGGAACUGCAUUUGUGACUGCAUGGCUGGAGUGCGGCAGAGGGGGAUGGAAUUCCGCGUGUAGCAGUGAAAUGCGUAGAUAUGCGGAGGAACACCGAUGGCGAAGGCAAUCCCUGGGCCUGCACUGACGCUCAUGCACGAAGCGUGGGAGCAACAGG